UACGAAGGGGGCUAGCGUUGUUCGGAAUUACUGGGCGUAAAGCGCGCGUAGGCGGACAUCUAAGUCAGGGGUGAAAUCCCAGGGCUCAACCCUGGAACUGCCUUUGAUACUGGACGUCUGGAGUUCGGGAGAGGUGAGUGGAAUUCCGAGUGUAGAGGUGAAAUUCGUAGAUAUUCGGAGGAACACCAGAAGCGAAGGCGGCUCACUGGCCCGAUACUGACGCUGAGGCGCGAAAGCGUGGGGAGCAAGCAGG
rnacentral:rRNA from 1 species